rnacentral:rRNA from 1 species
UGGGGAAUUUUGGACAAUGGGCGAAAGCCUGAUCCAGCAAUGCCGCGUGUGUGAAGAAGGCCUUCGGGUUGUAAAGCACUUUUGUCCGGAAAGAAAUCCUUGGCUCUAAUACAGUCGGGGGAUGACGGUACCGGAAGAAUAAGCACCGGCUAACUACGUGCCAGCAGCCGCGGUAAUACGUAGGGUGCAAGCGUUAAUCGGAAUUACUGGGCGUAAAGCGUGCGCAGGCGGUUUGCUAAGACCGAUGUGAAAUCCCCGGGCUCAACCUGGGAACUGCAUUGGUGACUGGCAGGCUAGAGUAUGGCAGAGGGGGGUAGAAUUCCACGUGUAGCAGUGAAAUGCGUAGAGAUGUGGAGGAAUACCGAUGGCGAAGGCAGCCCCCAUGGGCCAAUACUGACGCUCAUGCACGAAAGCGUGGGGAGCAAACAGGAUUAGAUACCCUGGUAGUCCACGCCCUAAACGAUGUCAACUAGUUGUUGGGGAUUCAUUUCCUUAGUAACGUAGCUAACGCGUGAAGUUGACCGCCUGGGGAGUACGGUCGCAAGAUUAAAACUUAAAUGAAUUGACGGGGUCAUAGCUGUUUCCU